AUUUUCUGAAAACUAUGAACUCAACAACCGAGCGUCUUCUUUCAUCCGUUAUUUCUGACAAAAAUGACAAUGUGUUCUGGUUUUGGUUUUAUAAUAUUUUGGGCUCCGUGUAUUUUAUCGGGCACUUAUUUUACGUGUACGUUUUUAAUGAAAAUCAGGAUCGCGAUAAAAAGCAAAAGACACAUUUAGGCAUAAGAAUUAAAAUUUGAUUUUUCAAAAGAUUUCUACAGGAAAACUGAAAUUAGUUCUUUCAUUAUUUGUCGCAAAAUUGCUCCAAAAAUCGAAUUUUCUUCAGGACCUCCUGUUUCCAAUAACAACUCAUAUUUUCCAUGCAAUGAAAAUUGUCACCAUCCUGUUAUUGUUCAUGUUCAUUUCUCAAGUUUUGUUACGCUGGCAUCACUUUGAAAAUGAAAAAAGAUUGAAAAAUGGAAAUGAGUGUGAUCACAUUUUAACGUAUGAUGAUAUCUUGCAACAACCCAAAUUGCACAUUUUCCUUGAAGUAAUUGGGAUUAUCUCUUGGAUCUUCACUUAUCCCAUUUAUAUUGUAGCCCAAACAUACCACGUGAUCAUAUUCCUUCUAUCAGUUCAAUUCUUCAUAGUUUGCUUCUUCCCAAGACUCGAGCAAAAAUUUCGGAAAAUUCAUAGAAAAAUCAGAAGGAAAACAAUACACUUUUAUUGGAUACUAUUCAUUUUUCAAGUUUUUCACUAUUUUAUUAAACUUUUUUAUCAACAUCCGAACGAUUUGACCGACUUCCAUAUUCUUUGUUUCUUGAUAGUUGUUGCAAAUAUUCUGCACAUUUUAUCAUUCAUUUUUGGAAGGAAGCGAGCAAUUUCUUUUUAUCAAAGUAACCUGCGAAAGUACAUUAUCUGGCUGACAAGUUUUGGAGGAGCAGCCAACUUGACAUUUCUGGUUUUCAUUGUCUAUUUCAUACAAGAUAAGAAUAUUUUUGUUACGGUUAUUAUAUAUUAUUUGUUGGUGACACCGUGUAUUAUACAAAUGUGCUACUUGAUUUGCAACAGGCAAAAAUUGAUAACUUUGAUGGUUUCGUUUAAGUUUAAAAAAUUUAUCAAAAAACUGAUAGGCAGUCAACAUUCAUAUGUUCAUCCUCAGCUUGCCACGCAACAAAGAUUUUGAAUAAAAAAUGUGUAUCGACUUCUUCUGAAAAUCUUGAAAUUUGAAAUAAAAGAUUGAAAUAAAA